rnacentral:ncRNA from 1 species
ACUAUAACUUUAUAUUGAGCAUGUUUUUGGACUGCGUAGCAUAGAUGGGAGAGGUCUGAUGGAUUCGUUUUUGGAUGAAUUCUACUCGUCAGUGAAAUACCAUUCUUUUUGAGGAUAUGUUCUAACCAAAGCGGCAAAAACGCUUUGAGACAGUAUAUGGCGGAUAGUUUUACUGGGGCUGUA